rnacentral:rRNA from 1 species
UACGAAGGGGGCUAGCGUUGCUCGGAAUGACUGGGCGUAAAGGGCGCGUAGGCGGACUGCACAGUCAGGCGUGAAAUUCCUGGGCUUAACCUGGGGACUGCAUCUGAGACGUGUGAUCUAGAGUGAGGAAGAGGGUCGUGGAAUUUCCAGUGUAGAGGUGAAAUUCGUAGAUAUUGGAAAGAACACCGGUGGCGAAGGUGGCGACUGGGUCCUUGACUGACUCUGAGGCGCGAAAGCGUGGGGAGCAAACAGG